GAUGAACGCUGGCGGCGUGCUUAACACAUGCAAGUCGAACGGAAAGGCUCCUGCUUGCAGGGGUACUCGAGUGGCGAACGGGUGAGUAACACGUGGGUGAUCUGCCCUGCACUUCGGGAUAAGCCUGGGAAACUGGGUCUAAUACCGGAUAGGACGAUGGUUUGGAUGCCAUUGUGGAAAGUUUUUCGGUGUGGGAUGAGCUCGCGGCCUAUCAGCUUGUUGGUGGGGUAAUGGCCUACCAAGGCGUCGCCGGGUAGCCGGCCUGAGAGGGUGUACGGCCACCUUGGGACUGAGAUACGGCCCAGACUCCUACGGGAGGCAGCAGUGGGGAAUAUUGCACAAUGGGCGCAAGCCUGAUGCAGCGACGCCGCGUGGGGGAUGACGGCCUUCGGGUUGUAAACUCCUUUCGCUAGGGACGAAGCGCAAGUGACGGUACCUGGAGAAGAAGCACCGGCUAACUACGUG
rnacentral:rRNA from 1 species